rnacentral:rRNA from 1 species
GACGAACGCUGGCGGCGUGCUUAACACAUGCAAGUGGAGCGACGAACCAGGGCUUGCCCUGGGGCAGAGCCGCGAACGGGUGAGUAACACGUGGGUUACCUGCCCCGAUGACCGGGACAACCCGAGGAAACUCGGGCUAAUACCGGAUGUGUCCGAAAGGGGAAAGGAAGCUUCGGCCUCCGCAUCGGGAUGGGCCCGCGGCCCAUUAGCUUGUUGGUGAGGUAACGGCUCACCAAGGCUGCGANGGGUAGCUGGUCUGAGAGAACGAUCAGCCACACUGGGACUGAGACACGGCCCAGACUCCUACGGGAGGCAGCAGUGGGGAAUCUUGCGCAAUGCGCGAAAGCGUGACGCAGCAACGCCGCGUGGGGAAGAAGG